rnacentral:rRNA from 1 species
UACGUAGGGGGCUAGCGUUGUCCGGAUUUAUUGGGCGUAAAGAGCGUGUAGGCGGCCAGGUAGGUCUGCUGUGAAAACUCGAGGCUCAACCUCGAGACGUCGGUUGAAACCGUCUGGCUAGAGUCCGGAAGAGGAGAGUGGAAUUCCUGGUGUAGCGGUGAAAUGCGCAGAUAUCAGGAGGAACACCCGUGGCGAAAGCGGCUCUCUGGGACGGUACUGACGCUGAGACGCGAAAGCGUGGGGAGCAAAACAGGG